rnacentral:rRNA from 1 species
GACGAACGCUGGCGGCAUGCCUAAUACAUGCAAGUCGAGCGAACAGAUGAAGUGCUUGCACUUCUGACGUUAGCGGCGAACGGGUGAGUAACACGUAAGGAAUCUACCUAUAAGCGGGGGAUAACAUUCGGAAACGGGUGCUAAUACCGCAUAAUAUCUUCUUCCGCAUGGAAGAAGAUUGAAAGACGGCUCCGCUGUCACUUAUAGAUGACCUUGCGGUGCAUUAGUUAGUUGGUGGGGUAAUGGCCUACCAAGACGAUGAUGCAUAGCCGACCUGAGAGGGUGCUCGGCCACAUUGGGACUGAGACACGGCCCAAACUCCGACGGGAGGCAGCAGUAGGGAAUCUUCCGCAAUGGGCGAAAGCCUGACGGAGCAAUGCCGCGUGAGUGAAGAAGGCCUUCGGGUCGUAAAACUCUGUUAUAAGAGAAGAACAAAUUGUAGAGUAACUGCUACAGUCUUGACGGUAUCUUAUCAGAAAGCUACGGCCAACUACGUGCCAGCCGCCGCCGUAA